rnacentral:rRNA from 1 species
CCUACGGGGGGCUGCAGUGGGGAAUAUUGGACAAUGGGGGGAACCCUGAUCCAGCCAUGCCGCGUGUGUGAAGAAGGCCCUCGGGUUGUAAAGCACUUUCAGUGAGGAAGAACGCCUGGUGGUUAAUACCCAUCAGGAAAGACAUCACUCACAGAAGAAGCACCGGCUAACUCCGUGCCAGCAGCCGCGGUAAUACGGAGGGUGCGAGCGUUAAUCGGAAUUACUGGGCGUAAAGCGCGCGUAGGUGGCUUGAUAAGCCGGUUGUGAAAGCCCCGGGCUCAACCUGGGAACGGCAUCCGGAACUGUCAAGCUAGAGUGCAGGAGAGGAAGGUAGAAUUCCCGGUGUAGCGGGGAAAUGCGUAGAGAUCGGGAGGAAUACCAGUGGCGAAGGCGGCCUUCUGGACUGACACUGACACUGAGGUGCGAAAGUGUGGGUAGCAAACAGGAUUAGAUACCCGGGUAGUC